AGAUAGGGAUAGAUUGAAUUACGGCUUACAAAAGGUGAAGAAUGACAUGAUUUUGAGGUGUUAGGGUCUAAAUGUUCUGUUACUAUAUAAAUAGCUUGACAAUUAGGUCAACUUUUUAAAGAUUGUUCUAAAUGCUCCACUUACCUGGUGUCUUUAUUUUUAAUUUCUUAUUUCGGUUUGUUCUCAAUUCUAUAUCUGCGCCGUUAUUUCUAAUUGUUGUCAUUUAUGUUGCAUUAUAAUGUCAUAUGACUAUAUUUACAAUGUGUUUAGUGUAAUAUGUUUUUUUAAGCUCAAAAUUACUUGAAGCUACUAGCAGGGGAGGCAAGCUUGUUGGAUUAUGAAUGUUUCGUCAUUAAAAUACGAAGAACUACACUUGUAUGUUGAAGUUUUAAGAAGCAUUAUUUUUUAUUUCUUUGUACCAGCCAGUGCCACAUCAGCAAUGUUUAUUAUGGGAAUGAUUUCAAUAUUCAUAGGAAUUUCAUUGCUGGCACCUGAUGACUCGAAAGGUAGAUGGGGACAGAAGGCAUUCAAGUGGACGAGACUCUACAACAAGUGAUGGGUCAACAUUCUUAUCUGAGCGCACUGGGACACUGGGUACACAGCCUUUGCGAGGGAGCUCUCGGGCUUGAAAACAGGGGCAGCGGCUUAACUUCUGCGAUCUUAGCAAAGGUGUUUUCCGGCAAAGAGAAGACUAGAUCGGAUAUUAGUGAAGUUAAAGAUAUUCGUUGGUACCGAAGAAGCUGUUAGGUGACUGAUGCGAUUGAGAUGUUGGUCUGUAUGUCACAUAGAGUUUAAGUAGAGGGAUUCAAAUGAAAACCAAUGAAGUGCAAACAUCAACGCUGACGCCACCGAUUUAGCGGCCACAUGUUAUCUUGUUCUUUGCAGAUCGGCUGGAUUUAUGGAUCGGUUACAGAGGAUAUCUUAACGGGAUUCAAGAUGCAUUGUAGGGGAUGGAGAACGAUAUACUGCAUGCCAGUAAGACCUGCAUUUAAAGGUUCGGCUCCUAUCAACUUAUCAGAUCGGUUGCACCAGGUUUUGAGGUGGGCCCUUGGAUCGGUUGAGCUCUUUUUGAGUAGGAAUUGCCCGUUGUGGUAUGGUUGGGGUGCCGGCCGCUUUAAGUUGCUUUAACGACUUGCGUAUAUAAUUAACACCAUUGUUUAUGCGUUCACAUCUCUCCCUCUUGUUGCAUACUGCACAUUGCCCGCCAUCUACCUUCUGACCGGAAAAUUCAUCAUCCCAACGGUGAUGGCUAUGACACGGAGCAACAUAUG